rnacentral:tRNA from 1 species
GCUUUCGUGGUGUAGUGGUCAGCACGCUCGUCACGUAUUUGAGAGGUUCGUGGUUCGAGUCCCGCCAAAGGCA